rnacentral:rRNA from 1 species
AGCGAACGCUGGCGGUAGGCCUAACACAUGCAAGUCGAACGGCAGCACAGUAAGAGCUUGCUCUUACGGGUGGCGAGUGGCGGACGGGUGAGGAAUACAUCGGAAUCUACUUUUUCGUGGGGGAUAACGUAGGGAAACUUACGCUAAUACCGCAUACGACCUACGGGUGAAAGCAGGGGAUCUUCGGACCUUGCGCGAUUGAAUGAGCCGAUGUCGGAUUAGCUAGUUGGCGGGGUAAAGGCCCACCAAGGCGACGAUCCGUAGCUGGUCUGAGAGGAUGAUCAGCCACACUGGAACUGAGACACGGUCCAGACUCCUACGGGAGGCAGCAGUGGGGAAUAUUGGACAAUGGGCGCAAGCCUGAUCCAGCCAUACCGCGUGGGUGAAGAAGGCCUUCGGGUUGUAAAGCCCUUUUGUUGGGAAAGAAAAGCAGCAGGUUAAUACCCCGCUGUUCUGACGGUACCCAAAGAAUAAGCACCGGCUAACUUCAUG